rnacentral:misc_RNA from 1 species
AAUUAUCAACCUUGCUCGCUUUUACCGGCUUGAGUGAGGCUUGGAUGUGAGGGCUUUGCUGGCUUCCUUCAGUGGACGGUCUGCUCCCUUUAAAUGCAUUAGUGGGAUCCUUUGUGGACCGUCACUUGGUGUGAUAAUUAUCUAUGCCAUCUGACUUUGAAGCAAACUUUAUGGGAACCCGCUCAUAACCGUCUUCGGACAAUCUUGACA